rnacentral:rRNA from 1 species
UCCAGAGAUUUCCGAAUGGGGGAACCCAACAUCUUUAAUAGGAUGUUACGAUUGUGUGAAUACAUAGCACAUUCGAGGUAGACGCAGAGAACUGAAACAUCUAAGUACCUGCAGGAAGAGAAAGAAAAUUCGAUUCCCUGAGUAGCGGCGAGCGAAACGGGAAAAGCCCAAACCAGCAAGCUUGCUUGUUGGGGUUGUAGGACUCCAAUAUGGUAGUUCUUUCAGAUAGUCGAAUGACUUGGAAAAGUCAGUCAAAGAGGGUAAAAACCCCGUAGACGAAAUGUGGAAGACACCUAGGAGGAUCCUGAGUACGGCGGAACACGAGAAAUUCCGUCGGAAUCCGGGAGGACCAUCUCCCAAGGCUAAAUACUCCCUAGUGACCGAUAGUGAACCAGUACCGUGAGGGAAAGGUGAAAAGCACCCCGGAAGGGGAGUGAAAUAGAACCUGAAACCGUGUGCCUACAACAAGUCAAAGCCCGUUAAUGGGUGAUGGCGUGCCUUUUGUAGAAUGAACCGGCGAGUUACGAUUGCAUGCGAGGUUAAGUUGAAGAGACGGAGCCGCAGCGAAAGCGAGUCUGAAUAGGGCGUUUGAGUAUGUAGUCGUAGACCCGAAACCAUGUGAUCUACCCAUGUCCAGGUUGAAGGUGCGGUAAAACGCACUGGAGGACCGAACCCACGUACGUUGAAAAGUGCGGGGAUGAGGUGUGGGUAGCGGAGAAAUUCCAAACGAACUUGGAGAUAGCUGGUUCUCUCCGAAAUAGCUUUAGGGCUAGCCUCGGAAUUGAGAAUGAUGGAGGUAGAGCACUGUUUGGACUAGGGGCCCAUCUCGGGUUACCGAAUUCAGAUAAACUCCGAAUGCCAUUCAUUCAUAUCCGGGAGUCAGACUGUGAGUGAUAAGAUCCAUAGUCGAAAGGGAAACAGCCCAGACCACCAGCUAAGGUCCCAAAAUAUAUGUUAAGUGGAAAAGGAUGUGGGGUUGCACAGACAACUAGGAUGUUGGCUUAGAAGCAGCCACCAUUUAAAGAGUGCGUAAUAGCUCACUAGUCGAGUGACCCUGCGCCGAAAAUGUACCGGGGCUAAACAUAUUACCGAAGCUGUGGAGUACACCUUUAGGUGUAUUGGUAGGAGAGCGUUCUAAGGGCGUUGAAGGCAGAUCGUGAGGACUGCUGGAGCGCUUAGAAGUGAGAAUGCCGGUAUGAGUAGCGAAAGACAGGUGAGAAUCCUGUCCACCGAAUGACUAAGGUUUCCUGGGGAAGGCUCGUCCGCCCAGGGUUAGUCGGGACCUAAGCCGAGGCCGACAGGCGUAGGCGAUGGAUAACAGGUUGAUAUUCCUGUACCCGUUGUUUUUGUUUGAGCAAUGGAGGGACGCAGGAGGCUAAGGAAUGCAGACGAUCGGAAAUGUCUGUCCAAGCAGUAAGUCUGAAGAGGAGU